GGUGGAUUAGUGGCGAACGGGUGAGUAACACGUGAGUAACCUGCCCUUGACUCUGGGAUAAGCCUGGGAAACUGGGUCUAAUACCGGAUAGGAACGUCCACCGCAUGGUGGUUGUUGGAAAGAUUUAUCGGUCAUGGAUGGACUCGCGGCCUAUCAGCUUGUUGGUGAGGUAAUGGCUCACCAAGGCGACGACGGGUAGCCGGCCUGAGAGGGUGACCGGCCACACUGGGACUGAGACACGGCCCAGACUCCUACGGGAGGCAGCAGUGGGGAAUAUUGCACAAUGGGCGAAAGCCUGAUGCAGCGACGCCGCGUGAGGGAUGACGGCCUUCGGGUUGUAAACCUCUUUCAGUAGGGAAGAAGCGAAAGUGACGGUACCUGCAGAAGAAGCACCGGCUAACUACGUGCCAGCAGCCGCGGUAAUACGUAGGGUGCGAGCGUUAUCCGGAAUUAUUGGGCGUAAAGCGCGCGUAGGCGGUUUUUUAAGUCUGAUGUGAAAGCCCACGGCUCAACCGUGGAGGGUCAUUGGAAACUGGAAAACUUGAGUGCAGAAGAGGAAAGUGGAAUUCCAUGUGUAGCGGUGAAAUGCGCAGAGAUAUGGAGGAACACCAGUGGCGAAGGCGACUUUCUGGUCUGUAACUGACGCUGAUGUGCGAAAGCGUGGGGAUCAAACAGGAUUAGAUACCCUGGUAGUCCACGCCGUAAACGAUGAGUGCUAAGUGUUAGGGGGUUUCCGCCCCUUAGUGCUGCAGCUAACGCAUUAAGCACUCCGCCUGGGGAGUACGACCGCAAGGUUGAAACUCAAAGGAAUUGACGGGGGCCCGCACAAGCGGCGGAGCAUGCGGAUUAAUUCGA
rnacentral:rRNA from 1 species